rnacentral:rRNA from 1 species
CAGCGCCACGGUAAUACGGAGGGUGCAAGCGUUAAUCGGAAUUACUGGGCGUAAAGCGCACGCAGGCGGUCUGACAAGUCAGAUGUGAAAUCCCCGGGCUUAACCUGGGAACUGCAUUUGAAACUGUCAGGCUGGAGUCUUGUAGAGGGGGGUGGAAUUCCAGGUGUAGCGGUGAAAUGCGUAGAGAUCUGGAGGAAUACCGGUGGCGAAGGCGGCCCCCUGGACAAAGACUGACGCUCAGGUGCGAAAGCGUGGGGAGCAAACAGGAUUAGAUACCCCGGUAGUCCCUGUCUCUAUACAC